UCUUCUUACACUUUUACUCCUUUCAUGCACUUUACACAUUUCGAUGUGAAGAAAGUAUAUUACCUUCCAUUUUUUUUCCCCCAUGCCGCUCCUCCUCCUGAAGAUCUCUUCUCUUUCCCGGGAAUCUUCCUUAAGAAUGUAUCUCAAGCCAAGCAGUCUUCCAAAGGCAACAAUUCUCCAUAAUCCCCUCCCGCAUUCUUAUAGCAAAAGGCGCAUUUUGACAAAACCCUCAAACCAAAAGCUGUCUCCAGUGGCUAUGCAAGAGAUACGUCUAAGCCACUGA
rnacentral:lncRNA from 1 species